GAGGAGUAGAGAGGGUGUCCACGUCAGAUUAAAAAAUCUACCAAUCAGAAAGAUUCAAUUUGCCAUGUCACAAGACCUUUCUCCUUUGCUCCUUCGUUUGGGCUGAUUCAUCUUCUCCGACUCUUGCACUUUGUCGUAACCCACUCUUUAUAAUCUUAAAUCCCUUUUUAAUGGUUUCGUUCCACACCAAUUUGUUAUGAUCUUAAUUUCUUUUUUAAUGGGUUCGUUCCACCUCCUCCUCUUCUCCUUCUAUCGCUUCAUCUGAUCUUAAAUCUAAUCGAAAACCUCCACUGAAGAAAGCUACAGCUACAGCCAUGAAAUCCACCGGAAAGUCUCCCGUCUCCACCAACAAGUCUCCUAUGGCUGUGUAUAUCAACGAUGUCUCACCCGGACCAGCCGAUUGCAAAAGGUUGGACCCGUCAGAAGUACAGAUCGUAAGCCCAAACUCCAAAAAACUGGGAGCUUCGAUCAUGGAAGUCCAUUGCUACAAAGCCUUGCAUCCAUAUCCUUUUAAAUACGAUGACAUCUGUUCAUGCAUGAUCCAUCGCGGAUUUACUAUUGCGGUAAUAUGAUUUUUUUGAGUAUUUUUUUUUUGCAAGAUCCACCAAUAAUCCAAAAUCGCUCGAAGAUCAGGUAUUUGUCCUCAUCUUCAUACUUAAAUAUUUCUUUCUGUAUUGUCGUGGUCAUCUAAAUUUUAAUUUAUUCAGAUACGGUGAGAUUUGUGUAUGGUGAGCUCCUGGGCUGCCAUGAAGAGAGAAUUAUUCACUGAAGCUUUUGCAAUGCUUUACGGUUGGUAUGGGAGCUAUACAGAGGCAACUUCAACAAUCUCCGUAUUGAAUGAGAUAUAAAAAAUCUCACGGAACAGCACUACUGCAACUCAUUUGCUUACGCAGCACUCAAUGCAGUCCAUUAUGGGCAUGGCGGACUUCAGAAUCAGGCGGUAAGACUGAGCAAUUCAUGAACAUGCUCCCGAUCAACCCCUCCGCUAGCGUCAGAUGCGUUGAAGUCCUGGGCUUUAGCCAUCUCUGGCGUCCUUUUAGCCACAGCGGAGAUCGCAUUCUUCCAAGGAUAUCUCACUUGGCUAUCGUUAGGCUAUACAAUAUACAUCCCCUUUAUCGGUGGACGGACUAUAUAUGUUUCCUUCUACUCUCGAGGGGGAAUAAUGGGACUGUUGAUAACAACGGUGGUGAUUGCGUUGAAGGAUCUGUAUGCAGAGUGUUUUGAAUGAUCCCAAGAAAACCAAUUAGCUGUUGUGGGUUUCUUUAGUCGGAGCUUUCAAGUGCUGCCAUGGCUGCUGCUUUGUAUUGUGAGAAGGAUCAUGUAGAUUAGUUGAGAAAGAUAAAGAUAAUAAUUUUUUUAUGGUUUUAAUUUAGUCUUUUUCCUUUGGAAUGUUAUGUAGUGUGCAGCGAGAGAUGUGUAGUAUGAAAUUUCAAUUGUUAUGUUAUAUUGUAUGUGAUCUGAAUCUUUGAGGAAAACGUGUUAAAGUGUUUGCUGAUUAA